AGAGGAGUUUGCAUAUGUCACAGACGGGGUGGGUGCGGAAGUGUAUGACUGUCCAACAACCCGCAACCAGCAAGCAGCCGCUGCCGAGGAACGGGGUUUCCAGAUCCCAUGACUCUUGUGUUCUGCCAUUAGGCAGCACUUUAAGGAUCCACUUGGAAAAGAGACUCGGGGAUGUGUAUCACUGCACCAAGGCAAGGUCACGGCCAAAGGAAAAAGACGGGCGGCUGGGUCUAUCCACCAACCGCGGACUUGCCAAAAGAAGAAUCCAAAGAAUAAGUCUCUAAUAAUAGAAUGUUUAGGGAUUGUUUGAUGGUUAUUCUGUGAUAGACGGAAUCUGCUGGCCCUCUUGGCUCCUUCAAACACCAUGGAGAAUAAUAAUAAAUUCCACCUACACUUA